UACGUAGGGGGCGAGCGUUGUCCGGAGUUACUGGGCGUAAAGCGCACGCAGGCGGUCUGCUAAGUUUGGAGUGACAGUUGGUGGCUCAACCACCAAAGUGCUUUGAAAACUGGCCGACUUGAGGGCUUCAGAGGGACACGGAAUUCCGGGUGGAGUGGUGAAAUGCGUAGAGAUGUGGAGGAACACCGAUGGCGAAGGCAGCCUUCUGGGCCAACACUGACGCUCAUGCACGAAAGCGUGGGGAGCAAACAGG
rnacentral:rRNA from 1 species